rnacentral:lncRNA from 1 species
GCACGUUCUUCUCUUAAUUAAUUUACUUUGAACGGCCCAUAACCAAAUGUUAGCCAGAAACCAUGAAUUGUUGAAAUCUUUUCCACAGAAAAAAAAAUUCCCAUAAUCCAAAUCUUUUUUAAUGGAAUCGCAGUGGUACUAGGAGAAAGUAUUUCUAAACGACGUCAGAUAAAUUAAAGGCGAAAACAGAUUUGUGCCACGCAAUUGCAGCAGAGAUCGGGCAGAGCUGAAACUUCAGGAAUUAGGCACAUCUCAUUAACUGAAAAAAAAGAGUGGAAAGAUGUGUGUUUGAUCUGGUGAUGGGGCUUUCAAUCGGACGCAGCAGGUAACUCCUUGCUACAAAUUUAAUAUUUUGAUCGAAAUAUUUAAUACCGGUGAUUAGCUUAGUAGACGGGUUAUGUUCAUGUGUUAGAAAGACGAAUUGCUUUUGUAUUCUUCUUCCAGUUUGAUGAGUUUAAUUUGUUCUCAUCUGUCCGUAAUGUCUCCAGAGACCACCAGAGAUAUGUCUCCUGUGCUCGUCAAUAUAUAACUAUGCAAUUGCAUGUUUCUUGCCUCAAAUAUGAACCGUUUCAAACAAAUCAAAUUAAUCAGCAAGGAGAACUUAAUUAAUAAUUCCAUAUUCGAAAUGCGCCCGGUUAGGAGAACUAAUUAAUUUUUAGUGGUUCAAAAUCCAAACUUUUGUUUUUUUGUCCGAGAAGUUAGAGCAAUUAGGCCAAGGUCAAUUAAGAAACCGCUAGCUGUUUCUUGUGAUUUAUCGAUUAAGUGAAUGGUCAACGACUUUCAGCCUUAUGUUGGAUUACCUGUCUAGGCUGCCAAAUAAAACGGGUGAUUACAGUAUCCCAUUUUGUCUUCAAAAUGCUUAGAAAGUUUUAUCUUUUGAAGCCUUAAUUUCUUCCUGAUUUGAUGUGUAUACAUACUCCUGGAAUUAACGAACAUUCAGGGCCAGGAUCCUUCACAAUCUCAGGAGCAAUUUUGUCGUCCUUGGCUCCAUUUCUAGUAAAAUCAAGAAAACAUAACGGGGUAGUUAAUUUGGUGGCAAAUUAGAUCACGUUUGUGUGUCCCAAAUUCGAACCUCUGUUCCUCAAAUGUAAUUAUGAUCCGCAAGUCAUUUUCUAUGGUCCAAGACGUAUUUGUUUAACUAAUUUUUUUUUGGUUUUUUUUAUAAGCCACGAGGAGUUUUGCAUGGAAACCAUUAAUUCAGUACCAAAAACCCUGCCAGCUGCGACUUAAGAGAUUAUUUACUUACUUUCAUUGCAGAAGUAACAUUGUUGCGUGCAUGCUUCAACAUUAUGUUGUUGGUUACUUAGUCUGUUUUUAUAGCAACCAAUAGGUUUCAGGAUUGGGGCUCCUGAGGAAUAUCUGAACCAGUAACAAAGUAUUUGAAAAUGGCUUCUUCUUUACUUGACAAGCGAAAUACUUAAAUUCGAAACUAUAAUUUUGUUGGUUGAUCGAUAAUCUAUUCUGCCCCUUUUGGUUUUCAGCGAUUGCUUUUAAUAUUUAAGUAAUUUUUUUUUAUUUCUUGCCUUAUAAUUCACUAUCGCUUUUAUCUUCUACUAAAGUUACUAAAUACAGAUUUUUAUCUCUGUGUGUUACUGUGCAGGCCUGUGAUAGCAAUACGGAUGACCCAGAUGAAUUCAACAUCAACAUUUUGAACCUUGGUUUUGUCUUUCAUUAUAAUAUUUUGUUAUAUGUAUAACUUAAUUUCGGAUGGACCUUUGUUUAUCUUUAGAUUGGGGGAAGAUUGUGAUACUUUCCUCAAUACUCGUAUGAUUGUUCAUUACCUAAGUGUUUUGGUAUCCACCGGCACCACCACCUCACUUUCAAUUACUGUAAUGUGCAUUAAUUACCAAGCAUUUACAAUCACCAAGCAUUUACAAUUUCUCUACGGCCUGCGUGCUUUAACUUGAUAAUAUUUGCUCUAUCUGUCUGGAGUUUACAGCUAUAACUAUGGCUUAGGCAAUCCACAGCUGACAAUAGGUGAUUUGUGACCAUUUUAAUAGGCCGAGGUCCUUUACUUCCUGCUAUUACCAUAAAGUAUCAUUUGCAC